rnacentral:rRNA from 1 species
GUACACUCCUACGGGAGGCAGCAGUGGGGAAUAUUGCACAAUGGGCGCAAGCCUGAUGCAGCCAUGCCGCGUGUAUGAAGAAGGCCUUCGGGUUGUAAAGUACUUUCAGCGGGGAGGAAGGCGAUAAGGUUAAUAACCUUGUCGAUUGACGUUACCCGCAGAAGAAGCACCGGCUAACUCCGUGCCAGCAGCCGCGGUAAUACGGAGGGUGCAAGCGUUAAUCGGAAUUACUGGGCGUAAAGCGCACGCAGGCGGUCUGUCAAGUCGGAUGUGAAAUCCCCGGGCUCAACCUGGGAACUGCAUUCGAAACUGGCAGGCUAGAGUCUUGUAGAGGGGGGUAGAAUUCCAGGUGUAGCGGUGAAAUGCGUAGAGAUCUGGAGGAAUACCGGUGGCGAAGGCGGCCCCCUGGACAAAGACUGACGCUCAGGUGCGAAAGCGUGGGGAGCAAACAGGAUUAGAAACCCUGGUAGUCCCAUG